rnacentral:rRNA from 1 species
UACGGGGGGAGCAAGCGUUGUUCGGAUUUACUGGGCGUAAAGGGCGCGUAGGCGGCCAGCACAAGUCAGUUGUGAAAUCUCCGGGCUUAACUCGGAAAGGUCAACUGAUACUGUGCGGCUAGAGUGCGGAAGGGGCAACUGGAAUUCUCGGUGUAGCGGUGAAAUGCGUAGAUAUCGAGAGGAACACCUGCGGCGAAGGCGGGUUGCUGGGCCGACACUGACACUGAGGAGCGAAAGCCAGGGGAGCAAACGGG